GCAGUCCUACGGGGAGGCAGCAGUGGGGAAUAUUGCGCAAUGGGCGAAAGCCUGACGCAGCAACGCCGCGUGAGGGAUGAAGGCCUUCGGGUUGUUAAACUCUUUUCAGCAGGGACGAUAGUGACGGUACCUGCAGAAGAAGCUCCGGCCAACUACGUGCCAGCAGCCGCGGUAAUACGUAGGGAGCGAGCGUUGUCCGGAUUCAUUGGGCGUAAAGAGCUCGUAGGCGGCUUGGUAAGUCGGAUGUGAAAUCUCCAGGCUCAACCUGGAGUCGCCAUUCGAUACUGCCAUGGCUAGAGUCCGGUAGGGGACCACGGAACUCCUGGUGUAGCGGUGAAAUGCGCAGAUAUCAGGAAGAACACCAGUGGCGAAGGCGGUGGUCUGGGCCGGCACUGACGCUGAGGAGCGAAAGCGUGGGGAGCGAACAGGAUUAGAUACCCUGGUAGUCCACGCCGUAAACGUUGGGCACUAGGUGUGGGGCCCUAUCAACGGAUUCCUGUGCCGUAGCUAACGCAUUAAGGCCCCGCCUGG
rnacentral:rRNA from 1 species